GAGAUUGCGAAGGAGACAUCUAAGCUGGGUAGUUUUAGGAGUAGACUGAGAGGCUCUCAUAGCGAAUGGAGCGUGGUGGGCGGGGGUGGGUGGUAGAGGAAGAGACUUCUGGUGGUGACAAGGACGACGGGAGAGCUUGCCCGGAAUAGAGGAGGUAACCGCCGUGUCGGGCGUCCCUGAAAUGGAGGGACCAGAGAGAGGCCCGGAGGCCAGAGGAAGCCCUUGGCCCAGCGCUGGGGUUUUCGGAAACGGAGAGACGGACGGGUUCCGGGGAAGGGCAACAGUCUCUUUUUACUCACCCUGGCGGAGGUUUUGAUGGUGGAUGAGGUCGCCAGCAAAGGGAGAACCUAGGAGAUUCUCUGGGUCUUCGGCAGGUUGGGGAAAGGUCUUACUCUGAGAACCAGGCUGCAGUGCAGUGGCAUGAUCACGGAUCACUACAGCCUCAAACUCUCAGGCUCUGGAGACUCUCCCCUCAGCCUCCCAAGUAGCUGGGACCACAGGCACCUACUACCAUGCCCAGGACUCAUGUGAUUAUACUGAACUGACCCAGAUAACCCAGGAUAAUUCACAUCUCAAGACCCUUAAACUUGAUGACGUCUGCAAAGUCCCUUUUGCCAUAAGGUUAUAUUGGCAUAUGGUCCAGGAAUUAGUGCAGAGCCACAAUCUCAGAAAGAAAAUGAGAGUGGAUAAUGAAGACAGAUCAUCUGGGUGUAAACCUGAGGAUAUUCCAGAAUAUAGAGGUUAGAGAGAUAAGAAAGAAACUAGCAAGGAAACUAAGGAGCAGCCUCUAAGUAGAAGGAAAAGAAUGGUGAGUUGUAAUUGGAGGUGAAGACAGUUUCAAGGGAGGGUAUGUUAAUUGCUGCUGACACAUCAAGGAAGAUGAGGACUGAGCAUUGACCAUUGGAUUUAGCAACAUGGAGUUUUCUGCUGACCUGGACCUGAGCAGUUUUAAUGGAGUGGUGGGGGCAAUGCAUGACAGAAGAGAAUUCAAGACAGAAGGGACUUUUCCAAAAAAAAAAGGUAUACAAAUGGUUAUUGUGCAACGUGGAAAGAUGUUCACCAAUAUUAGUCAUUUAGGAAAUGAAAAUCAAAAGCACAAUGAGUUACCAGUUCACACUCACUCAGAAGGCAAUAAUCAAAGAAAUGGACAAUAGCAAGGGUUGGGAAGGAUAUGGAGAUAUUCUCCCACAUUGCUGGUGGAAUGUAAAAAUGGUGAAGGUGAAGGUGGAAAAACGGAAAUGAAGUAUUGAGAGGGAGAUGGAAUAUAAGAAGCUUUCUGACAGAUAACCCAAUGGAACAAACUGACUGACUGGGCAUCUGAAAUGAGUAAGAAGGAGUCAAAAAUGAGCAAAAUUAUGCUUCUCUGUGGAUGCAAAUCAUAUCUCCAUUACUUACACCCAGGAGAACUUGUAUGAAGUAGUUAACUUCUCUGGAUUUUAGCUUUUUCAUGUGUACAAUGGGGGGUUUAUGCCUCAUAGAGUUGUAGAAACUGCAAAUGAGAGACUUAUGAAAAGCCUACUGAAUGACCUUAUGAAUAAUAAUAUCAUCAGUGGAAGGUGAUUUGAGGAUGUGAUGCUGUUAUCCCUGACAUGGGCAGGAGGGAACUUGGACAAAGACCAAGGAAGAAAAUAUCUCUUCUCUGAAUGUCUUGUCUGCAUUUGAGUGCAAUGUCCUUUAUUCCGUGUCUUCCACCCAAUCAGGGCCCUACUGCCACUUAAGGGGUAAUUUCUCUUUCAAUCAUUAGUUGUUCCAGCACCAAGAAGCUUAGCCUCAGUUGAGGCACCUGAGUCAGGAGGCCAGGAUCCUUGGGAGAUUGACAACAGGAGGAUAAUCCCAUCAGAAUACUCCAGGAUUCCAACAGUAUCUUAGUCUAUUUAGCUACUAUAAUAAAAUACCUUAGAUGUAUAAAUCACUGGGCAAUUUGUAUAUAAUAGAAAUUUAUUUCUCACAGUCUGGAGGCUGAGAAGUCCAAUAUCAAGGCACCAGUGGAUUCAGGAUCUGGUAAGGCAGAUUCAGGGUCUCUUCAUCUCACCUUCAGCUCCAUAGAUGGCAUCUUAUUGUGACAUCAUCACAUAGCAGAGGGGGAAACACUGCACUCAGUGGUGAAAGGGGAGAACAGUAUGUCCUCACAUGAUGGAACGUGGGAACACCAUGUCCUUACAUUAUGGAAGCAGGCAACACUGCGUCCUCACAUGGUGGAAGGGGCAAUACUGUGUCCUCACAUGAUGGAAAGCAGGAACACCGUGUCCUCACAUGGUGGAAGGGGAAAUACUGUGUCCUCACAUGAUGGAAAGUGGGAACACUGUGUCCUCACAUGGUGGAAGGGGCAAUACUGUGUCCUCACAUGGUGGAAGGGGCAAUACUCUGUCAUUACAUAGUGGAAGCAGGGAACACUAUGUCCUUACAUAAUGGAAGGAGAAACACCAUGUCCUCAUAUGUUGGAAGUGGGGAACACCAUGUCCUCAUAUGGAGAAAGGGGGUAAGACUAUGUCCUCACAUGGUGGAAGGGAGCAACACUGUGUCCUCACAUGGUGAAAGGCAGGAACAUCAUGUCCUUAUAUGGUGGAAGGGGGAAACACAAUGUCUUCACAUGAUCCAAGGCAGGAACACUGUGUCCUCACAUGGUGGAAGUGGGGAACACUGUAUUCUCACAUGGUGGAAGGAGGAACACUGUGCCCUCACAUGGUUGAAGUGACAGAAGGGCAAAAGGGGUGACACUGUCCUCAAGCCAUUUUAUGAGUACCAAUCCCAUUCUUGGGACCUAAUUACCUCCUAAAACCCGGCUCUUCUUCAUGCUUUUGCAUUGGGGAUUAAGUUCCAACAUGAAACAUCCAAACCAUAGCAACGGUCUUCAGUGACCAUUGUCAUGAGGGGAAAAGAUAGGAGCUUUGGAAUCAUCCAGUGUUGGAUCUAAGGCUUUGCUCUGCCACCAACUAGUUUUGAAUACUGUUGACCUAUACCAACUAUAGUAGGUUCUUAUAACAAUUAAAAGGAAUAUCAGAGUAAAAUGUGUAUUUAUAAUGUAAUGUUUUCAACAGAAGAAAAUAUAAAUAAAAAUUUAUUGGGUCCUUUGAAUGCAGAGGAAUUUUAAGUUUGAUAUCAUUGGAAGAAAUCAUAAACAAGAAGAGUAAAACAUUUAGUAUUUUAAAAUUAAAAAUGUAUUUAAAGAAGAAUUAAAAAGAAUAAUAUGU
rnacentral:lncRNA from 1 species